GACGAACCGUGCGAACGUUAUUCGGAAUCACUGGGCUUAAAGCGCGUGUAGGCGGGAAGGCACGUCGGUCGUUGAAAUCCCCCGGCUCAACCGGGGAAGUGGCGCCGAUACGACCUUCCUGGAGGGACGUAGGGGGACCUGGAACUUCCGGUGGAGCGGUGAAAUGCGUUGAGAUCGGAAGGAACGCCCGUGGCGAAAGCGAGGUCCUGGACGUUUUCUGACGCUGAGACGCGAAAGCCGGGGGAGCAAACGGG
rnacentral:rRNA from 1 species